rnacentral:rRNA from 1 species
CUGCCUACGGGACGCAGCAGUGGGGAAUAUUGCACAAUGGGGGAAACCCUGAUGCAGCGACGCCGCGUGAAGGAAGAAGUAUUUCGGUAUGUAAACUUCUAUCAGCAGGGAAGAAAAUGACGGUACCUGACUAAGAAGCCACGGCUAACUACGUGCCAGCAGCCGCGGUAAUACGUAGGUGGCAAGCGUUGUCCGGAUUUACUGGGCGUAAAGGGCGUGUAGCCGGGCUGACAAGUCAGAUGUGAAAUCCGGGGGCUCAACCCCCGAACUGCAUUUGAAACUGUUGGUCUUGAGUAUCGGAGAGG